rnacentral:rRNA from 1 species
CCUUGUCGGUUAAAUACCGACCUGCAUGAAUGGCGUAACGAGAUGGGAGCUGUCUCAAAGAGGGAUCCAGUGAAAUUGUAGUGGAGGUGAAAAUUCCUCCUACCCGCGGCAAGACGGAAAGACCCCGUGGACCUUUACUACAGCUUGACACUGCUACUUGGAUAAGAAUGUGCAGGAUAGGUGGGAGGCUUUGAGUAUAUGACGCCAGUUGUAUAUGAGCCAUUGUUGAGAUACCACUCUUUCUUAUUUGGGUAGCUAACCAGCUUGAGUUAUCCUCAAGUGGGACAAUGUCUGGUGGGUAGUUUGACUGGGGCGGUCGCCUCCCAAAUAAUAACGGAGGCUUACAAAGGUUGGCUCAGAACGGUUGGAAAUCGUUCGUAGAGUAUAAAGGUAUAAGCCAGCUUAACUGCAAGACAUACAAGUCAAGCAGAGACGAAAGUCGGUCUUAGUGAUCCGGUGGUUCUGUGUGGAAGGGCCAUCGCUCAAAGGAUAAAAGGUACCCCGGGGAUAACAGGCUGAUCUCCCCCAAGAGCUCACAUCGACGGGGAGGUUUGGCACCUCGAUGUCGGCUCAUCGCAUCCUGGGGCU